UCCCAUCUUUAAUUUAUCCCUCUGCAGCAUCUCUCAAUUUAUUUCCUUUUUUUUCCCCAUGUUGCCAUUACUGGAGUUCAGGCCAUGAUUACUAAUGGAAAACUUCAGUCUUGCCAGCUGAAUUCAGGCCCUCUGUAUUCUACCUCUUAAGAAGAAGAAGCAACAUCGGGAGUCAUAUCGAAGAACAUUAUAAGGCCAUAGUUCUGAGAGAAAAGUUUACCUCCAUCCCCACAUCAAACUUUAGAAAAUGAAACAGGAACAACAAGGGGCUCCUUGGAGAGAAGCAAUACAGGCUAAAUUGUUCAAAGAAAUGACAGAAAGCAACAAGGAAAAAGGGGAAAAGCUGAGACUCCAAGACAACUUUCAACUUUCUCAAGCAAGUAUAAUAAAUAAAAGAGAAUGAGUUGUUUGCAGAAUUGAAAUUAAAUGAAAGAAAUCCUUGAAGGAGAUGGAGAAAAAUACACAGAAAAUGUGUGAAUGUACAGAGGCAGGAUAUCCAAGAAAGCAUCUCUUUCUAACAGAGGCAAACUGGGA
rnacentral:lncRNA from 12 species